CAGCAGCCGCGGUAAUACAGAGGUCCCAAGCGUUGUUCGGAUUCACUGGGCGUAAAGGGUGCGUAGGUGGCGGGGCAAGUCGGAUGUGAAAUCUCGGAGCUCAACUCCGAAAUGGCAUUGGAAACUACCCUGCUUGAGGGUCGGAGGGGGGACUGGAAUUCUCGGUGUAGCAGUGAAAUGCGUAGAUAUCGAGAGGAACACCAGUGGCGAAGGCGAGUCCCUGGACGACUCCUGACACUGAGGCACGAAAGCUAGGGGAGCAAACAGGAUUAGAUACCCUGGUAGUCCUAGCCGUAAACGGUGCACGUUUGCUGUAAAAGGAAUCGACCCCUUUUGUGGCGGAGCCAACGCGUUAAACGUGCCGCCUGGGAAGUACGGUCGCAAGAUUAAAACUCAAAGGAAUUGACGG
rnacentral:rRNA from 1 species